rnacentral:rRNA from 1 species
UACGGAGGGAGCUAGCGUUGUUCGGAAUUACUGGGCGUAAAGCGCACGUAGGCGGCUUUUUAAGUCAGGGGUGAAAUCCCGGGGCUCAACCCCGGAACUGCCCUUGAAACUGGAGAGCUAGAAUCUUGGAGAGGCGAGUGGAAUUCCGAGUGUAGAGGUGAAAUUCGUAGAUAUUCGGAAGAACACCAGUGGCGACGGCGACUCGCUGGACAAGUAUUGACGCUGAGGUGCGAAAGCGUGGGGAGCAAACAGG